GACAGGAGGAGCCAAGCGUUGUCCGGACUGACUGGGCGUAAAGCGCCCGCAGGCGGCCGUGCGCGUGGGGUGUGAAACGCUCGCGGCUUAACUGGCGAGAGGCCAUCCCAUACGGCACGGCUCGAGCCGUCCAGAGGCCGGUGGAAUUGCCGGUGUAGUGGUGAAAUGCGUAGAGAUCGGCAGGAACACCCAGGGGGAAACCGAGCCGGCUGGGGACGGGCUGACGCUCAGGG
rnacentral:rRNA from 1 species